rnacentral:rRNA from 1 species
UUUAAAUUGCUGUGGUAUUUUGACUAUACAAAGGUAUUGUAAUAAGAUUUUAAUUGAAUGCUAAAAGAAUGGAUUAACAGAUAAAUACUUUCUUUAAUUUAAAAAUUAAAUUUAUUAUUUUUUGUGCAGAAACAAAAAUAAAAAUUAAGGACAAGAAGACCCUAAGAAUUUUAAUUUGAUUUAAAUAAUUUAUAUUUCUUAAUCAAAUUUAAUUGGGGCGAUUGAAAAAUAUUUUUAACUUUUUUUUAAAAAAAAUAUGAACCAUUAAUAAUGGUAAUAUGAAAAAAUACUCUAGGGAUAACAGCGUAAUAAUUUUUGAUAGUUCAUAUAGACAAAAUAGUUUGCGACCUCGAUGUUGGAUUAGGAUUCUAAUUUAAUGAAGAAGUUAAAUUAAGAAGUUUGUUCAACUUUUAAAUUCC